GCUACUAAUGGUUCACUGCGAUAAAAAACAACGAUGGAGAAAGGGACAGAACUUGCCAGAGGAGGUUGCUGGAGCCGUUGGUCUGAACUGCCCUGCCUUUUCCCUGCUCCAGUGCCGCUGCUACUGCUGAAAAGUGAUCGGAAAUGUUGCUGCUGUUGCCAUGGAUUAAGAAAAAGGGGUUCAUCGCAAUUAAUUCCUACUAGUUCAACACUCUGAGAGACAACAGUGAAGAAAACACGAGGACCUACACAAUGCUUGAAGAUUCAUGCAAGAUAGUUAAAAGAUAGAGAAGAAAUUACUCUAGAUAUUGAAGGAGAGGCAAUUGGUCCUACUGAUGAAGCUGUAAACAACUUGAGCAAAUUUUUGGGCACAGUGGCUAGGAAUUCAGAUUUUUGUCCAUUAAUUUACACAAAUUGGAAGGGGAUUAAAGAUAAAGAAGCCAUUUGGGAAUAUGUUCAAGUGAGAACUUUAGUCUUGUUUCUUUUAGAAAGUAUCUGGAAAUGUACACAUGUAUUUUAUUCUUACUAGCAAAUAAUAUUUGUGGACAUGAUGACUAUUUGCUACUUAGCUAUUUCAA